rnacentral:rRNA from 1 species
AUUGAACGCUAGCGGGAUGCUUUACACAUGCAAGUCGGACGGCAGCGCGGACUUCGGUCUGGCGGCGAGUGGCGAACGGGUGAGUAAUGUAUCAGAACGUACCCAGUAGCGGGGGAUAACUACUCGAAAGAGUAGCUAAUACCGCAUACGCCCUACGGGGGAAAGGGGGGGAUCGCAAGACCUCUCACUAUUGGAGCGGCCGAUAUCGGAUUAGCUAGUUGGUGGGGUAAAGGCCUACCAAGGCGACGAUCCGUAGCUGGUUUGAGAGGACGACCCGCCACCCUGGGACUGAGACACGGCCCAGACUCCUACGGGAGGCAGCAGUGGGGAAGUUUUGACAAUGGGGGCAACCCUGAUCCAGCCAUCCCGCGUGUGCGACGAAGGCCUUCGGGUUGUAAAGCACUUUUGGCAGGAAAGAAAUUGCCUGGGUUAAUACCCUGGGUAGAUGACGGUACCUGCAGAAUAAGCACCGGCUAACUACGUGCCAGCAGCCGCGGUAA